rnacentral:rRNA from 1 species
UGAUGCAACACGCCGCGUGAGGGAUGAAGGCCUUCGGGUUGUAAACCUCUUUUAGCAGGGAAGAAGCGAAAGUGACGGUUCCUGCAUAAAAAGCACCGGCUAACUACGUGCCAGCAGCCGCGGUAAUACGUAGGGUGCAAGCGUUGUCCGGAAUUAUUGGGCGUAAAGAGCUCGUAGGCGGUUUGUCGCGUCUGCUGUGAAAUCCCGAGGCUCAACCUCAGGCCUGCAGUGGGUACGGGCAAACUAGAGUGUGGUAGGGGAGAUUGGAACUCCUGGUGUAGCGGUGGAAUGCGCAGAUAUCAAGAAGAACACCGAUGGCGAAGGCAGAUCUCUGGGCCAUUACUGACGCUGAGGAACGAAAGCGUGGGGAGCGAACAGGAUUAAAUACCCUGGUAGUCCACGCCGUAAACGUUGGGAACUAGAUGUAGGGUCCAUUCCCCGGAUUCUGUGUCCCAACUAACGCAUUAAGUUCCCCGCCUGGGGAGUACGGCCGCAAGGCUAAAACU